UUAAGUUAUUAAGGGCGCACGGUGGAUGCCUUGGCACUAGAAGCCGAUGAAGGACGUUACUAACGACGAUAUGCUUUGGGGAGCUGUAAGUAAGCUUUGAUCCAGAGAUUUCCGAAUGGGGAAACCCAGCAUGAGUUAUGUCAUGUUAUCGAUAUGUGAAUACAUAGCAUAUCAGAAGGCACACCCGGAGAACUGAAACAUCUUAGUACCCGGAGGAAGAGAAAGAAAAUUCGAUUCCCUUAGUAGCGGCGAGCGAAACGGGAAGAGCCCAAACCAACAAGCUUGCUUGUUGGGGUUGUAGGACACUCUAUACGGAGUUACAAAGGACGACAUUAGACGAAUCAUCUGGAAAGAUGAAUCAAAGAAGGUAAUAAUCCUGUAGUCGAAAAUGUUGUCUCUCUUGAGUGGAUCCUGAGUACGACGGAGCACGUGAAAUUCCGUCGGAAUCUGGGAGGACCAUCUCCUAAGGCUAAAUACUCUCUAGUGACCGAUAGUGAACCAGUACCGUGAGGGAAAGGUGAAAAGCACCCCGGAAGGGGAGUGAAAUAGAACCUGAAACCGUGUGCUUACAAGUAGUCAGAGCCCGUUAAUGGGUGAUGGCGUGCCUUUUGUAGAAUGAACCGGCGAGUUACGAUUUGAUGCAAGGUUAAGCAGUAAAUGUGGAGCCGUAGCGAAAGCGAGUCUGAAUAGGGCGUUUAGUAUUUGGUCGUAGACCCGAAACCAGGUGAUCUACCCUUGGUCAGGUUGAAGUUCAGGUAACACUGAAUGGAGGACCGAACCGACUUACGUUGAAAAGUGAGCGGAUGAACUGAGGGUAGCGGAGAAAUUCCAAUCGAACCUGGAGAUAGCUGGUUCUCUCCGAAAUAGCUUUAGGGCUAGCCUCAAGUGAUGAUUAUUGGAGGUAGAGCACUGUUUGGACGAGGGGCCCCUCUCGGGUUACCGAAUUCAGACAAACUCCGAAUGCCAAUUAAUUUAACUUGGGAGUCAGAACAUGGGUGAUAAGGUCCGUGUUCGAAAGGGAAACAGCCCAGACCACCAGCUAAGGUCCCAAAAUAUAUGUUAAGUGGAAAAGGAUGUGGCGUUGCCCAGACAACUAGGAUGUUGGCUUAGAAGCAGCCAUCAUUUAAAGAGUGCGUAAUAGCUCACUAGUCGAGUGACACUGCGCCGAAAAUGUACCGGGGCUAAACAUAUUACCGAAGCUGUGGAUUGUCCUUUGGACAAUGGUAGGAGAGCGUUCUAAGGGCGUUGAAGCAUGAUCGUAAGGACAUGUGGAGCGCUUAGAAGUGAGAAUGCCGGUGUGAGUAGCGAAAGACGGGUGAGAAUCCCGUCCACCGAUUGACUAAGGUUUCCAGAGGAAGGCUCGUCCGCUCUGGGUUAGUCGGGUCCUAAGCUGAGGCCGACAGGCGUAGGCGAUGGAUAACAGGUUGAUAUUCCUGUACCACCUAUAAUCGUUUUAAUCGAUGGGGGGACGCAGUAGGAUAGGCGAAGCGUGCGAUUGGAUUGCACGUCUAAGCAGUAAGGCUGAGUAUUAGGCAAAUCCGGUACUCGUUAAGGCUGAGCUGUGAUGGGGAGAAGACAUUGUGUCUUCGAGUCGUUGAUUUCACACUGCCGAGAAAAGCCUCUAGAUAGAAAAUAGGUGCCCGUACCGCAAACCGACACAGGUAGUCAAGAUGAGAAUUCUAAGGUGAGCGAGCGAACUCUCGUUAAGGAACUCGGCAAAAUGACCCCGUAACUUCGGGAGAAGGGGUGCUCUUUAGGGUUAACGCCCAGAAGAGCCGCAGUGAAUAGGCCCAAGCGACUGUUUAUCAAAAACACAGGUCUCUGCUAAACCGUAAGGUGAUGUAUAGGGGCUGACGCCUGCCCGGUGCUGGAAGGUUAAGAGGAGUGGUUAGCUUCUGCGAAGCUACGAAUCGAAGCCCCAGUAAACGGCGGCCGUAACUAUAACGGUCCUAAGGUAGCGAAAUUCCUUGUCGGGUAAGUUCCGACCCGCACGAAAGGCGUAACGAUUUGGGCACUGUCUCAACGAGAGACUCGGUGAAAUCAUAGUACCUGUGAAGAUGCAGGUUACCCGCGACAGGACGGAAAGACCCCGUGGAGCUUUACUGUAGCCUGAUAUUGAAAUUCGGCACAGCUUGUACAGGAUAGGUAGGAGCCUUUGAAAC
rnacentral:rRNA from 1 species